UUCCAGACUCCUACGGGAGGCAGCAGUGAGGAAUAUUGGUCAAUGGGCGGGAGCCUGAACCAGCCAUGCCGCGUGAAGGCGAGUGCCCUACGGGCGUUAAACUUCUUUUGUGCGAGAGCAAUAAGGGCCACGUGUGGCCCGAUGAGAGUACCGCACGAAUAAGCAUCGGCUAACUACGUGCCAGCAGCCGCGGUAAUACGUAGGGAGCAAGCGUUAUCCGGAUUUAUUGGGUUUAAAGGGUGCGUAGGCGGAUUGAUAAGUUAGAGGUGAAAUGUCCGGGCUCAACUCGGGAACUGCCUCUAAUACUGUUGAUCUAGAGAGUAGAUGCGGUAGGCGGAAUGUAUGGUGUAGCGGUGAAAUGCUUAGAGAUCAUACAGAACACCGAUUGCGAAGGCAGCUUACCAAUCUAUAUCUGACGUUGAGGCACGAAAGCGUGGGGAGCAAACAGGAUUAGAUACCCUAGUAAAC
rnacentral:rRNA from 1 species